rfam:Gallionellales bacterium RIFCSPHIGHO2_02_FTLL_57_16 rifcsphigho2_02_scaffold_7041, whole genome shotgun sequence.
ACAGGCAAAUCUGGAGAGCGUUGGAUUAUCCAACCACCGAAGGGGCAGGCAACGCGAGUUGCAAUCUCUCAGGUACCGAGGACAGAUGGGGCGCA